GUGACACACGCCUGUAGUCCCAGCUACCUGGGAGGCUGAGGUGGGAGGAUUGCUUGAGCCUAGGAGUUCGAGGCUGCAGUAAGC
rnacentral:miRNA from 1 species